ensembl:rRNA 5S_rRNA 5S ribosomal RNA
GCUUACGGCCAUACCAGCCUGAAAGCGCCUGAUCUCGUCAGAUCUCGGAAGCUAAGCAAGGUUGGGCCUGGUUAGUACUUGGAUGGGAGACUUCCUGGGAAUACCAGGUGCUGUAAGCA